GGCAGUGUGGUACAGCGGUAAGAAGUAGGGCUUGUAACCGAAAGGUUGCUGGUUCAAUUCCCCACCAGGGACUGCUG